CAAAAUGUUUCCAUAGAGCAGAAGAUGACUGCACAUGCGCACUCGGAACUUUGACAGUUGGAGUCCUUAGAAAACUGAAGAGGUCAUCUGAGUUGCCCUGUCCUCAGUGUCACACUCUGGAAGAGCUGAAUUAUAGGCACCCAACAAAGAAAUAGAAGCUAACAGGGAUGUCUGGGCUGGACUUGGGCUCCAGAGCAGAAGAUAACUGCACAUGCGCAUCGGAACUUUCAGAGUUGGAGUCGUUUGAAAACUGUCGGUGACCCGGGCAAAGGGCCAACCUGCACUCACAGCCUUGUUGCUGGGACUGACUGUGCUGUGACCUCUGAUGGAGACAGGACAACUGAAGUACAGACUGGAGAUCCCUGCCUGGAGCUGAGAGAGGGUCGGGGCAGGAGGGAGCUUGGGGUGGAAAUGGAGGUCUGGGGCAGCCUGGGCACAAGUAGGUGGCACGGUGGGUUUUCGGUCAUGAGUUUAAUUUCUCCCGAAAUGCCAAGGGGACAAUGGCGCCGCAGAGGUCGUGUGGGGCGGAGUGUGAAGGGCAGAAAGGCCGCAGCAGGCGGGGCCCGGGUCCCAGGUGGCGGGGUUCCCUCCCGGCUAAGGCAGAGUUUUGCGCUCUUUGCCACCGUAGGUUUCGUUUCCGUUCCUGACAGGCAGGGGGCGCCCUCACGUCCCAGAAGGAGCUCCGGGCCAACUGGUCACCUCGGCUGCUGGGAACGUCAGUGGGGCUUCGAGUUUCAGGCUCCUCCUUCUGAAGUCAGAUGGCUGACGUCAUCAGAGCUUAGUCUUCACUAGAGCAUCAACACGGACAACUACCGCCGGUGUUGGUGGCGCUCACCGGUAGGGUUUGCUGAAGGAGGCAGAGGCAGGAGGAUCUGGAGUUCGAGGCCAGCCUGGGCUACACAUUUUUUUCCCCCCCGCCGCAAUAAAGGACAAAUCCCCGGGAACACACCACCCGAAAACAGUUCACUAUCACCCGCAAAACCUCUCCGCACGCUCCCCUCACCUCUGCUUCACCCCGCGCCCCAAACCCUGGCUGCGCUUCUUCAGCCCCUCCACACAGCGCCCUGUUCACACCCUCCUCACUAGCCCAAGACCACUGCACAUGCCCGACCCCCACAGGGGCCCCGACCUCACACUCGCUCCUCCCCGCACCACACGCCCCUCUCUCCAAUCCCGCUGCCUCAGCUGCCCUUGCUUCUCCUCUGCUCAAGUCCUGCUUGCCCAAAGCAGGCAGCCGCCAGAGCAGAAACGCUCCCAACAGAGACUUGCGGGUUUUCAGGUAGUUUAUUUAACCCGGAACUCGAGUAAAUAAAGUUCUUGGGAAUGAAA